CUACUUACAUGGCAGGGGAGACACCAUGAUCACGCAGGUGAUUUUUUUCCAGGGCGAGGCUUUUAUUGCUCUGCAGAUGUGCUAACCCCUGUGAUUUCCCCAAAUGUGGGAAACUCGACUGUAUUAAUAUGCAGUAGUGGGGAAUUGCAUUUGCAUGCUCCCCU